rnacentral:rRNA from 1 species
UGGGGAAUAUUGCGCAAUGGGCGAAAGCCUGACGCAGCGACGCCGCGUGAGGGAUGAAGGUUUUCGGAUCGUAAACCUCUGUCAGAAGGGAAGAAACCGCACUGUGCUAGUCAGCAGUGCCUUGACGGUACCUUCAAAGGAAGCACCGGCGAACUCCGUGCCAGCAGCCGCGGUAAUACGGAGGGUGCAAGCGUUAAUCGGAAUUACUGGGCGUAAAGCGCACGUAGGCUGCUUUGUAAGUCAGGGGUGAAAUCCCACGGCUCAACCGUGGAACUGCCUUUGAUACUGCUUAGCUUGAAUCCGGGAGAGGGUGGCGGAAUUCCCGGUGUAGGAGUGAAAUCCGUAGAUAUCUGGAGGAACGUCAGUGGCGAAGGCGGCCACCUGGACCGGUAUUGACGCUGAGGUGCGAAAGCGUGGGGAGCAAACAGG